UACGUAGGGAGCAAGCGUUGUCCGGAAUCAUUGGGCGUAAAGCGCGCGUAGGCGACCUCGUAAGUCCGUUGUGAAAGUCAAAGGCUCAACCUUUGAAAGCCGAUGGAUACUGUGAGGCUAGAGUCCGGAAGAGGCGAGUGGAAUUCCUGGUGUAGCGGUGGAAUGCGCAGAUAUCAGGAGGAACACCAAUAGCGAAGGCAGCUCGCUGGGACGGUACUGACGCUAAGGCGCGAAAGCGUGGGGAGCGAACAGG
rnacentral:rRNA from 1 species